UACGGAGGGUGCAAGCGUUGUCCGGAUUUAUUGGGUUUAAAGGGUGCGUAGGCGGCCCGUUAAGUCAGUGGUGAAAGCCUCCAGCUCAACUGGAGAACUGCCAUUGAUACUGGCGGGCUUGAGUACAGACGAGGUAGGCGGAAUUGAUUGUGUAGCGGUGAAACGCAUAGAUACAAUCAAGAACACCGAUUGCGUAGGCAGCUUACUAGGCUGUAACUGACGCUGAGGCACGAAAGCGUGGGGAGCGAACAGG
rnacentral:rRNA from 1 species